GAUAAGUGUUUAAGACAUGGAUCCGUAGCGAAAGCGAGUCUGAAUAGGGCGCUAUAGUCAGUAGUGGUAGACGCGAAACCGUGUGAUCUACCCAUGGGCAGGAUGAAGCUGUGGUAACACACAGUGGAGGUCCGAACCGGUUGACGUUGAAAAGUCUUCGGAUGACCUGUGGGUAGGGGUGAAAGGCCAAUCAAACUCGGAAAUAGCUCGUACUCCCCGAAAUGCAUUUAGGUGCAGCG
rnacentral:rRNA from 1 species